rnacentral:rRNA from 1 species
UACGAAGGGGGCUAGCGUUGUUCGGAAUUACUGGGCGUAAAGCGCGCGCAGGCGGUUUCUUAAGUCUGAUGUGAAAGCCCACGGCUUAACCGUGGAAGGUCAUUGGAAACUGGGAGACUUGAGUGCAGAAGAGAAGAGCGGAAUUCCACGUGUAGCGGUGAAAUGCGUAGAGAUGUGGAGGAACACCAGUGGCGAAGGCGGCUCUUUGGUCUGUAACUGACGCUGAGGCGCGAAAAGCGUGGGGGAUCAAACAGG